ensembl:misc_RNA Metazoa_SRP Metazoan signal recognition particle RNA
GCUGGGCGUGGUGGCUCAUGCCUGUAAUCCUAGCACUUUGGGAGGCCGAGGCAGGUGGAUCACCUGAGGUCUGGAGUUCAAGACCAGCCUGGCCAACAUGGUGAGACCCUGUCUCUA